UACAGAGGGGGCAAGCGUUAUUCGGAAUUAUUGGGCGUAAAGGGCGCGUAGGCGGCCGUGCAAGUGGAAGGUGAAAUCCCUCGGCUCAACCGAGGAACUGCCUUUCAAACUGCAUGGCUUGAGUCCGGGAGAGGUGAGUGGAAUUCCCAGUGUAGCGGUGAAAUGCGUAGAUAUUGGGAGGAACACCAGUGGCGAAGGCGGCUCACUGGACCGGAACUGACGCUGAGGCGCGAAAGCGUGGGGAGCAAACGGG
rnacentral:rRNA from 1 species